rnacentral:rRNA from 1 species
GACGAACGCUGGCGGCGUGCUUAACACAUGCAAGUCGAACGGAAAGGCCUCUUUCGGGGGGUACUCGAGUGGCGAACGGGUGAGUAACACGUGAGUAACCUGCCCUUCACUUUGGGUUAACUUCAGGAAACUGGGGCUAAUACCGGAUAGGAGCUCCUGCUGCAUGGUGGGGGUUGGAAAGUUUCGGCGGUUGGGGGUGGACUCGCGGCGUAUCAGCUUGUUGGUGGGGUAGUGGCUUACCAAGGCGUUGACGGGUAGCCGGCCUGGGAGGGUGACCGGCCACAUUGGGACUGAGAUACGGCCCAGACUCCUACGGGAGGCAGCAGUGGGGAAUAUUGCACAAUGGGUGGAAGCCUGAUGCAGCAACGCCGUGUGCGGGAUGACGGCCUUCGGGUUGUAAACCGCUUUCGCUCAUGACGAAGCUUUGUGUGACGGUAGUGGGUAAAGAAGCACCGGCUAACUACGUG